UGUCCCGCGGUUGCGCGCCUCGAGGAGGGAGCCGCUUUGGUCGUCGUGCGUUGCAGCGUGUCCUUGGUGAGGCCCGCGUUAAGGGAGUGCUCUGGGAUGUACGGAGCGCGUUAAAGGACAGGUUUGGCUCGGGCUUUCAGAGCGGUCUCCUUAGGCAGACCUGGCCCCUCCUCUCACGUUCGCCCGGACCUGAGCCCCCGCCUUCAGCGAGGUCGUAGGUGCGGCAAGGGACGUCUACGGGUUUUGUCUUGCACGUGCUUCCCUGUUCGGAAGCCUGUGACUUUAGUCCAUGAGGACAUGAAUAUCCGCUGUUCCAGCCGGGUUGCUCAGGCCCCUGCGCCUUCUGGUUGUCAUGAAGGUAGUGAUCCUGCCGUGUUCGUGUGAGACAGAGGUUGUGACCGUUUUUGCUCAUCAUCUUUCCGGGGACUUACAUGGUGCCUGGAACAUAGUAGGUGCUGAACACAUGCAAAUGUUAGGUUCAUUUGUCAGAAACAGUGAAAUUAAUGCACUAAUGUGAAGUAAAGAUUGGCCACCACCAUAAGGGGACACAGCUGUGGAGACUGCAUGAUCGCCCACUGUGCAUAACAGUAAUGAUGAUGGAAAUGGCUGCGACUGUUCCCCAGCUUUCCUGGGUCAUGAAGGCUUCCUGUUGGCCUUUUCUAUCCCAGACGACUUUGGAGCUGGCUGUCUCCCUCAGCCCCAGGCGGUGCCAUCCUUUGAGUUCCCCAUUGGCUUUGUCCCCUGGUCUUUCUGGGUCCCUGCAGUCAGUACAGCUCUGGUCCUCUCUUCACUCUUCACCCAGACCUGCCGCUCUCACAGGCAGCUGUCUUCCUCCUGCCUUUUCUCCCUCCUGACUGCUUGGCCACUUGACACAUAAUGGGUGGUCUGUGAUUCCCUGGGGAUUGGGACAUUCCUGUUUUUGAAUGGCUGAGGCAGCUGUACUUGUGAGGCUACUAACCUCCCUGUUCAGGAAACCUACAGGACUGAUACUGCGUAUGUGCAUUUUAAAAUUCUAUUUUGUGUUAGAUGUUUAUUCAGUUCUUCUUCUGUGAAAUGCUGGCUGAGUGGUUUGGUUUUUUUCUUUUCAUUUUUUUACCCAAUACAUCCCUCAGUUCAGGGUCUGAAUUUAGUAGUAAUUUUAAAAUCUAGGCCUUUUAAAAUCUGAGUUUUCAUUUGCUAGCUGGUUUAAAACGUCUGUUUUAGGGACUUCCCUGGUGGUCCAGUGGCUAAGAUGCUACACU